AAUAAAAUAAAAACAACAUAGGAAGCUUGAAAAUACAGGAAUUAAAGGACAGAAAUACUGGAUACCUGCUUACACAAAAUCCAGGAAGAGCAAUGUUAAUAUUCAACAAAACAAGACUCAAGAUGAUUACUGAAAUGCCAAAGAGGGUUAUUUUGUAUAACUAAGAAAUACAAUGGAAAUCUAAAACCAUCAUGAAUCUUAAGGCAACCAAUGAUAUGGCUUUGAAAUUCAUAAAGCAGAAAUUUCUAGAAAUACCAGAAAAAACCAACAAAGUCACCAUCACGAAGACUGUAGCACAUCUCCUAUGAAAAUGACAGCUAAAUGAAUGGAAAUUUUACAAUACCUUCAUUUUGUUACAUAGAAAAUAGGGUGAUAUUCUUUAAUAACCUGUAUGAAACUCACAAAUUGGCUCAUAUCCACAAAUUGGCUCAUAAAGAAAAGUGUAACAUGCUUCCUUCAAAUUAACUGAUCAUAACUAAGUCAAAUUAGAAAUUACAUUAAAAAAGGAAGACUUCCUUCCCCCUUCUUCCAAAAAAAAAAGUAAAAGAGGAAAGAAAAAGUACUAUAGACUACAGAAUUAGAAAUAAAUGAAGUUUUGGGUUUAUGACGAAAUAAUAUAGAGUAUUCUUUAAAAGUAAAUGGAAGUGAUAACACUGUAGUAUAUUAAAAACUGUGAGAUAUAGCCAAAAGUCUAAUAAAUGGAUUUUUCCUCCUUAGAAACAUAAACUAUAAAACAAGGAAUAGAAGAUAAAAAUAAAAGAACUGUGUUUUCAUAUAUUCUAAUUAAAAACCCAAGCAAACGUAAUGACAUAUGAAAGGACUUAAUAAAAUAGAAACCAUAUACAAUAUACUUUAUCAACAAUACCAACAGAUACUUAAGAAAAAGGUGAGCCUAGCAGAUCGAAGUAAGAAAAAAUAGAGAUUGACAUUUAACAUUAGGAAUAAGGAGACAAAAAACCCCGUAACAGAGCGCGAUGCCCAAAUCCAAGCGCGACAAGAAAGUCUCCUUAACCAAAACUGCCAAGAAAGGCUUGGAAUUGAAACAAAACCUGAUAGAAGAGCUUCGGAAAUGUGUGGACACCUACAAGUACCUUUUCAUCUUCUCUGUGGCCAACAUGAGGAACAGCAAGCUGAAGGACAUCCGGAACGCCUGGAAGCACAGCCGGAUGUUCUUUGGCAAAAACAAGGUGAUGAUGGUGGCCUUGGGUCGGAGCCCAUCUGAUGAGUACAAAGACAACCUGCACCAGGUCAGCAAAAGGUUGAGGGGUGAAGUGGGACUCGUGUUCACCAACCACACAGAGGAGGAGGUGAAUGAGUGGUUCACGAAAUACACAGAAAUGGACUACGCCCGCGCUGGUAACAAAGCAGCUUUCACUGUGAGCCUGGACCCGCGGCCCCUGGAUCAGUUCCCCCACUCCAUGGAGCCACAACUCAGGCAGCUGGGCCUGCCCACCACCCUCAAGAGAGGUGUGGUGACUCUGCUAUCCGACUAUGAGGUGUGCAAGGAGGGCGACGUGCUGACCCCCGAGCAGGCUCGCGUCCUGAAGCUUUUUGGGUAUGAGAUGGCUGAAUUCAAGGUGACCAUCAAAUACAUGUGGGAUUCACAGUCGGGAAGGUUCCAGCAGAUGGGAGACGACUUGCCAGAGAGCGCAUCCGAGUCCGCAGAAGAGUCAGACUCAGAAGAGGAUGACUGAAAGGGACUCAGGACUGAAGGCCUCCUGGAACCUUCUGGGUCUCACUAGACCAUGCAGGACUGCUGCCGCCCCUCUGGAGAGAGCAGCUGUUUAUUUGUCUGUAGACAGGGAACGUGAUGGGCACUGACCUCCUGUAAAGAAUAAAACUCUGGGCCAGG